GUAGAAAAGGGCAUUCAGGAGGCCAGAGUUGGCAGAGCGGUGGGAGUGACUGGAGGACUACAGUUGCAGGAGAUCAUAGAGGUGGGACAAGAACGAGGAGCCAUGUCAAGUAGAAAAUAUAUAAAUAACAGAAUGCCAAUGGGGAGAACACAGGAAACAUUUGAGAAAAGCUCCAACCUGUCCAAUUGUUAUUGAAGUGUGGACCAAAGCCCCAAGAU